rnacentral:lncRNA from 1 species
GGCCUGGACAUCUGGAAGGUGCCAUUGAGUGACAACCAAGGAGGAGGAUCUCCCCAGGAGGAUCUGAGGAAGAAGGACACAUUCCUUCUUUCUGGCCACUGAUCGGUGCCCUAGGCCCUGGGUCCACACCGGUCACCAGCACGGCCUUGUCUGCCUCCCCACGGGGCCCACUGAGCCUGGGAGUGGACCUGCUUUGGAGGAAGCAGCUCAGUCUGGACAAACUCACUGUGGGCUAGCAGGCUGAUUUCCCCAACCCCACCCAGGUUGUAGACAAGCUCUGCCCAGAUUUUCCACUCAGUUUUGCCGGAAGCUGUGUGAAGA